rnacentral:antisense_RNA from 1 species
AGGUAACGUCUGUUUGGUACAAUCUGGUUCACAUCAUAAUGGUUCUUUUGCCAACAGGAGCUGGUAAUCAGGAUGGCAGUGAGGCAGGCACUUGCUUGCAGAAGAACAGGCCUAGUUUUUUAAGAAGCCACAAAAGUGUCUUUGGAUGAUUAGGAUCUAAGGGGCCAACAGCUUUGCAAUAACAGCAUAAAUAUUGUGGGCUGGAUGGACAGGCACCAAAUGGGGACAUUCCAUCCUGCUGUGUGAUGAGAAAGCUGCCACUUCUGAGGCCUUCCAAAACAAAUCAACACUCCAUAUGCCAGAAGGAAAAGCCCAGGAAAGACCUAUUCCAACUGGAGAUGGUGAAUGUCAUUUCUUCAAGAAGCUGAGAUCCAGCUGGUACUGCCAGGUGGAGAGAAUAUGAAGGGAGAAUGAAACAAAACUGCUCCGCUCAGGGAACUUGGAAAGGAAAUUGAAAAGGCAAGGCACAGGCUGGAAGAAAAUAUUUGAAAAAGAUUUAUGUGAACUUCUUUCUGGAUUAUACAAAAUAUUUUUAGAUAUUCUUACAACUCUAAAAUAAGAUAACUCCUUAAAAAUGUGAAUUCUACCAAAGGAGAGAUGAAGAUGACGAAUAUAUUCAAAGAUGCUGAAAAUCACUUAUUUAUUAUUAGGAAGUUACAAGCUAAAGCAUAAUGAGAUACCACUACAACCUACUAAACUGACUAAAAUUAAUCAGACUAACCAGGUGUUGGCAAGAAACAGGG